rnacentral:rRNA from 1 species
UACGUAGGGCGCAAGCGUUGUCCGGAAUUCUUGGGCGUAAAGAGCUCGUAGGCGGCUUGUCACGUCGGGUGUGAAAGCCCGGGGCUUAACCCCGGGUCUGCAUUCGAUACGGGCAGGCUAGAGUGUGGUAGGGGAGAUCGGAAUUCCUGGUGUAGCGGUGAAAUGCGCAGAUAUCAGGAGGAACACCGGUGGCGAAGGCGGAUCUCUGGGCCAUUACUGACGCUGAGGAGCGAAAGCGUGGGGAGCGAACAGG